AAAUCAUGCCACUAGAACUUGCUGUAUGAAAAUCUGGUAGUAUGAAAAUCAUGCAUAAAAUAGUAAAUCAACAAAAUCUGCAACGUCAACACAGUUGCAUUAUUUUUUUCAGAUCUGGAUGGAUUGCAAAAUCUACUUGAACCUCACUCUCUACUUCAACCUCAUUGUUCAGUCCACACUCACUUUCUACUUCAUUUUCAACUUGUGUCUCCACUACAAUUUCUUCCUGGACUCCAGCAUCCACCUCAUUUUCAGCAUCCACCUCAUUUCCAGCACUGUCUUCCUCACUUUUAUCACUCUCAUUAACCAACUCACCCUGAGUCAACAACAACUGCACCCCUACUUCAAGUUCGUUAUCUUCUACAACCUUUGCAUGGUCCACGCCAUGCACAACAUACAAGUCAACUUUUCCACCCCCAUCAUAUUCAUUGCUCCUUUAUCAUCAUACACUUCAUGCAACACAUUAUAUAUGCUAUAAAACAACUAUUUCACGUGAAGGUACCCCAAAUCUUUUAAUGCACCAAUUAUUUCAAAAUAGCUCCAUCCAUCGGGAUCAACGUCCCAGUAAACAAUAUCUCCAUUUAUAUAGUUAAUAGGGUACUGUGUUAUCAAGGUCCCACCAUGGUGGACCACAACCUCAAUUCUUUUCUCAGACAUCUCAAAGGGGGACCACUAAAAUAACUUAAAAAACCAAUAAUGGGACCACGGUGAACAACAAAAGCUGACAAUAACGCCCCCUGUCUUCCACAACCAAAAAGCCCACAACAAAAAAAUGAUAUUUAACACACAAUACAAUGCACUACAACAACAAAUAAACAACUUUUUAUACUACCCAAAAUCAGAGUAAAACGAGGAAUAUAUUCCUAACAGAACAUCAAAUUAAACCCUAACCCCCCAAAAACAAACAUAAACAACAACAUAGCCUUAGAAAGUGAACCCUUACCUCACCCCCGUGCAAUGUUGAACUACCACCUUCAAGCAAUCACCACUGACGUGAUCUCCAAUGGCGACAAAUGAACAGCAGAUGAACCCAGAGCCUUCUCUCCAAUUGCGACAAUUGAAAAACAAU
rnacentral:lncRNA from 1 species